CCUACGGGAGGCAGCAGUCGAGAAUCAUUCACAAUGGGGGAAACCCUGAUGGUGCGACGUCGCGUGGGGGAAUGAAGGUCUUCGGAUUGUAAACCCCUGUCAUGUGGGAGCAAAUUAAAAAGAUAGUACCACAAGAGGAAGAGACGGCUAACUCUGUGCCAGCAGCCGCGGUAAUACAGAGGUCUCAAGCGUUGUUCGGAAUCACUGGGCGUAAAGCGUGCGUAGGCUGUUUCGUAAGUCGUGUGUGAAAGGCGCGGGCUCAACCCGCGGACGGCACAUGAUACUGCGAGACUAGAGUAAGGGAGGGGGAACCGGAAUUCUCGGUGUAGCAGUGAAAUGCGUAGAUAUCGAGAGGAACACUCGUGGCGAAGGCGGGUUCCUGGACAUUAACUGACGCUGAGGCACGAAGGCCAGGGGAGCGAAAGGGAUUAGAUACCCGAGUAGUC
rnacentral:rRNA from 1 species